AAUGAACGCUGGCGGCAUGCCUUACACAUGCAAGUCGAACGGCAGCAUGACCUAGCUUGCUAGUUUGAUGGCGAGUGGCGAACGGGUGAGUCAUGCAUCGGAACGUGCCUUUUUGUGGGGGAUAACGUAGCGAAAGUUACGCUAAUACCGCAUAUUCUCUGAGGAGGAAAGCAGGGGGCCUUCGGGCCUUGCGCUAGAAGGGCGGCCCGUGUCGGCUUCGCUAGUUGGUGGGGUAAAGGCUCACAAAGGCGACGAGCCGUAGCGGGUCUGAGAGGAUGAUGGGCCGCACUGGAACUGAGACACGGCCCAGACUCCUACGGGAGGCAGCAGUGGGGAAUUUUGGACAAUGGGCGCAAGCCUGAUCCAGCCAUGCCGCGUGAGUGAAGGAGGCCUUCGGGUUGUAAAGCUCGUUCGGCGGGGAAGAAAUCGCACCGUCUAAUACGGAGUGUGGAUGACGGUAACAGGAUAAGAAGCACCGGCUAACUACGUG
rnacentral:rRNA from 1 species